UAAAAGAAAGAGACCCUCACAAAUUCUGGCCGACCGGUGAAUAGUACGCGUAUUGCGGGCCUCCCUCCUGCAUAAGCUACGACUUUCUAAUACGUGGCUGUCUCCUUUUGACAAAUUGUUAAUUUUCUGGCAAAAGAGAAUAAGGAAGGAGAGGCUUUCUCAGCCACCGAACAGAACAAAAAUGGCUGCAGAAUCUGCAGUAGCAAUAGUAGUACAAAGACUGACGGACUUGCUCAUUCAAGAAGCAAUUUACUUAGAAGGAGUAAAAGAUGAAGUUAUUAGUAUGCAAUUUGAACUAAGGCGAAUGCAGUCUUUUUUAAAAGAUGCAGAUUCAAGAAAAGAAGAAGAAGAUAAUAAAGAAACUCUUCGCAAUUGGGUUUCUGAGAUAAGAGAAACUGCUUAUGAUAUUGAAGAUAUUAUUGAAGAAUUCGCUCUUAAAGUUGCUUUAAAGCGAGGAUCAGGCGUGGUCAAUGUUAUCAAAAGGUAUGCUUCCAUUGCUAAAGAAUCUGUAGAGCUUUACAAGGUUGGAUCUGAAAUUGGAACUGUAAAAUCAAGAAUUGCUGCUCUUUAUUCCAAUUUGCAAACUAUUGGUAUACAACCUAGAGAAAGAGAAAAUCCAUCAGUUUCUUCUUCAAGGCAACAACUCGUGAGGCGGUCCUAUUCACAUUUUGUUGAAGAAGAUAUUGUUGGUUUAGAAGAAGAUGUGAAAAUUUUGGUGGGCAUAUUGUUGAAAAGUGAAAGAACUUUUGUUUCUAUUUAUGGAAUGGGCGGACUUGGAAAGACAACUCUUGCUAGGAAGGUUUAUCAUAAUAGUGAUGUUAGGCAUUGUUUUGAUGCCUUUGCUUGGGCUUGUAUAUCUCAACAAUUUCAAGUAAGGGAUGUUUGGGAAGGAAUUUUGUUUGAGUUAAUAAAUCCUUCUAAGGAGCAAAGAGAGGAAAUUUCUAGUCUAAGAGAUGAUGAAGUGGCUAAAAGGCUUUAUAAAGUUCAACAAGAGAAGAAAUGUCUGGUCAUUCUUGAUGAUAUUUGGACUGUUGAGACUUGGAAUAAUUUGUGUCCUGCUUUUCCUUAUGGAAGAAGAAAUUCGGGUAGUAAAAUAAUGCUCACAACUCGGGUUAGAGAUGUUGCUUUGUUUCCAGAUCCAAUGUCUUUUCUACAUCAACCUCGAUGUUUGAAUGAUGAAGAGAGCUGGGAAUUGUUUAAAAGGAAAGCAUUUCUUGAUAAAAAUUAUCCAGACUAUAGAGCUAGAGCAGAAAUGGAGAAAUUAGGAACGGAAAUGGUUGGAAAAUGUACAGGCCUACCAUUGGCAAUCAUUGUGCUUGGAGGACUACUGGCAACUAAAACAAGUAUCUAUGAGUGGGAUAAAGUUAGUCAAAAUAUUAUUUCCCACUUGAGGAGAGGCAAAGGCUUUGGAGUAUCAGAGGUUUUAGCUUUAAGCUAUCAUGAAUUGCCAUAUCAGUUGAAACCUUGCUUUCUUCACUUGGCUCAUUUUCCGCAAGACUAUGAAAUACCUACGAAAAAGUUAAUCCAAAUGUGGAUUGCCGAAGGAUUCAUAUCAUCUAUGCACAAUGAUGAAAUGGAAGAGGAAAUUAUGGAAGAUGUGGCUCAACGUUACUUAGAUGAGUUGGUUGAGAGGUGUAUGGUUCAAGUAGUAGAAAGGGGUUCAACUGGAAGUAUUAGAACUUGUCGUAUGCAUGAUCUUAUGCGAGACUUGUGUUUGUCAAAGGCAAAGCAAGAAAAUUUUGUUGAAAGUUUCAGUCAAUUACAUGUAAAUGAUCAAACAAUCUAUUCUUUUCCUCAAGCCAUCGUAAGUGAUGCAAGGUCAUUUGGUAGACUUCGUAGGCUAGCUGUAUAUUCUAAUGGAGUCCUUAAAAAAUUUAUCCCCUCUCGAUACAAAAGGAAUUCCCAUCUCAGGUCUCUUUUGUAUUUCCAUGAAAAGGCAUGUCAUGUGGAGAAAUGGGGAUCUAUAAAAUCUGUGUUCAAAAAUUUUAAGUUCCUCAGAGUCUUAGAUCUUGAAGGAAUGCAAGGUCAAAAUGGCAAGUUACCUAAAGAAAUCGGCAAGCUUAUUCACUUGAGAUUCUUCAGCUUGAGAGAUACUGAUAUAGAUGAAUUGCCAGUUACAAUAGGGAAUUUGAGGUACUUGCAAACUCUAGACCUUUUGACUUGGAAUUCAACUAUAGCAAUACCAAAUGUGAUAUGGAAGAUGCAAAGACUAAGGCAUUUAUAUCUUCCCGAGUCUUGUGGUGAAGAUUCUGAAAGAUGGCAAUUGGCUUAUUUGUGCAACCUGCAAACACUAGUCAACUUUCCUGCAGAAAAAUGCAAGAUAAAAGAUCUGUUGAGUUUGACUAAUCUAAAGAAACUAGUGAUAGAUGAUCCAAAAUUUGGACUGCUCUUCAAAUCUGGUGCUACAUUUAAUAAUUUGAAGUCUUUAUCUUUUGUAAGUAAUGAAGAUUCUACUGUAAAUGAAGUUAUAACAGGAUGUCCUUAUCUUUAUAAGCUGAACAUCGAGGGGCGGAUAGAGAAAUUACCAGAGUGGCAUCAAUUUUCUUCAAAUUUGGCCAAAUUAAACCUACAAGGAUCAAGACUUUCUGAAGAUCCAAUGAUGAAACUGGAGAGAUUACCCAACUUAAGAAUCCUCCGUUUACAAAUGGAUUCGUUCCUUGGGACAACAAUGGUUUGCGCUGAUAAAGGUUUUCCUCAGUUGAAGUCUUUGUUUCUUUUUGACUUGCCUAACCUUGAAGACUGGAAGGUGGAAGAAGGAGCCAUGGCUAAUCUUUGCCAAGUAGAGAUUUCAAAUUGCACAUCUAUGAAGAUGGUUCCUGAUGGACUAAAGUUUAUCAUCUCACUCCAGGAAAUAGAGAUCAGAUCAAUGCUUAAAGCAUUCAAGAUUAGGCUUGAAGAUGGAGGAGAAGAUUAUUACAAAAUUGAACAUGUGCCUUCUGUUGUGUUUAGAAAAAAAAUGCAGUUUUUAUCCUCAGAGAUCAAUUACAGAGAAUGUUCCCAUAAAGUUUCUUGUAAUUUGUUCAAAGUUGAAGAUGACAUAAAUGAUGAGGCAUGCGAGUUAGUCAAUGGAAUGGAACUGUCAAUUGGUGAUGGUGUUGAUACAAUCCGUGCUUACCUCUUCAAGGCAGUGAAAAAUAACAAUGGAAUUGGCAUACUGCUCUUGUCUGAUAUUUUUGGGUUUGAAGAUUCAUCUACAAGAGACUUUGCGUACCGUGUUGCCUGUAAUGGCUACAAUGUUCUGGUUCCUGACUUAUUUCGCGGAGACCCAUGGGGAAAAGACAGGCCAAAGUCCAUAUUUGAACAGUGGAUUAAGAAACAAGAAGCCAACAGGAUUGUGAAGGAUAUUGCCACAGCAGCAAAAUGGAUGGCUGAUGAACUUUUAGCUGCAGGAAUAUCAAAGAAGCUUGGCAUAAUUGGGUUUUGCUAUGGAGGAGGCCGAGUGGUGGACGUGCUAUCUGAAGACCAGGGAUCUUGUUUUAGCACUGGGGUCUCUUUUUACGGCACAAGGAUUGAUCCAUCAAUAGCUUCCAAUGUAAAGGUGCCAGUACUAUUUAUUUCAGGGGACGACGAUCCUCUUUGCUCAGUUGAUGUCUUGAAAGAUCUCGAGAAGCGCAUUGGUCAGGGAUCAAAGGUAGUUACUUUCGAGGGAAGAGGUCACAGCUUUGCACAUCGUCCUAACUCGCCCGAAGAAGAUGAAGAUGCAGAGCAGGCUUUUGCAAUUAUGAGAAAUUGGCUAAAUGAUGGUUUGGUUUAAGAAGAUUGAUGAAAUUUUAUGUAUGUUCACUGUGCAUAUCAAGCCUUGCUGCAUCUAUUAAUGAAGAAAUGGUGAAAUUUCCAUCACUCCAUAUAUCUGAUGCUGCAUCUGAUUUCUUUGUUUCAGGAGUUUGUUUGGCUGCUGCUUAAAUGAAAGAACUGACUUGAGGAAGUCAUCUACUUUGUCUAUAUUUUAGGUGUAUUGAGUCUGUAAUGUAGACUACUAGUAAAGCUAGCAUUGCAGGGUAGUAAUGUUAGAAUUCUGUAUUAGGUUUGUCAAAAGAAGGGUAAUAAAACUUCAUGAUCUUUUUCAUUAUAUCAAAAAAUUUGAUGAUCUUGUUUCUAAA